UUCUCCUGGGAAAAAGGGUGGUAAUGCCGGAUGCUCCGACUCCUCGCAUGGGGUGUCGGGAAAGAUUUCAUCGGUAUGGGAUGGGGUCGCGUCCUAUCAGGUAGUCGGCGGGGUAACGGCCCACCGAGCCUACGACGGGUAGCCGGCCUGAGAGGGCGACCGGCCACAUUGGGACUGAGAUACGGCCCAGACUCCUACGGGAGGCAGCAGUGGGGAAUAUUGCACAAUGGGCGCAAGCCUGAUGCAGCGACGCCGCGUGCGGGAUGACGGCCUUCGGGUUGUAAACCGCUUUUGAUCGGGAGCAAGCCUUCGGGUGAGUGUACCUUUCGAAUAAGCACCGGCUAACUACGUGCCAGCAGCCGCGGUAAUACGUAGGGUGCAAGCGUUAUCCGGAAUUAUUGGGCGUAAAGGGCUCGUAGGCGGUUCGUCGCGUCCGGUGUGAAAGUCCAUCGCUUAACGGUGGAUCUGCGCCGGGUACGGGCGGGCUGGAGUGCGGUAGGGGAGACUGGAAUUCCCGGUGUAACGGUGGAAUGUGUAGAUAUCGGAAA
rnacentral:rRNA from 1 species